AUUGAACGCUGGCGGCAGGCCUAACACAUGCAAGUCGAACGGUAGCACAGAGAGCUUGCUCUCGGGUGACGAGUGGCGGACGGGUGAGUAAUGUCUGGGAAACUGCCCGAUGGAGGGGGAUAACUACUGGAAACGGUAGCUAAUACCGCAUAACGUCGCAAGACCAAAGAGGGGGACCUUCGGGCCUCUUGCCAUCAGAUGUGCCCAGAUGGGAUUAGCUAGUAGGUGGGGUGACGGCUCACCUAGGCGACGAUCCCUAGCUGGUCUGAGAGGAUGACCAGCCACACUGGAACUGGGACACGGUCCAGACUCCUACGGGAGGCAGCAGUGGGGAAUAUUGCACAAUGGGCGCAAGCCUGAUGCAGCCAUGCCGCGUGUAUGAAGAAGGCCUUCGGGUUGUAAAGUACUUUCAGCGGGGGGGAAGGUGAUAAGGUUAAUAACCUUGUCGAUUGACGUUACCCGCAGAAGAAGCACCGGCUAACUCCGUGCCAGCCGCCGCCGUAA
rnacentral:rRNA from 1 species